rnacentral:rRNA from 1 species
CAAUAGCGUAUAUUAAAGUUGUUGCAGUUAAAAAGCUCGUAGUUGGAUUUCUGGUGAGAUGGAUUAUGUCUAGGUCGAAAGAUCUUGUUCAUGGUUCGUUUUGCCCUUCUUGUCAGGAACCCGCUGAGAUUCGCGUCUUGUCGGUGGAAUGGCAUCGUUUACUGUGAAAAAAUUAGAGUGUUCAAAGCAGGCAUCGCCGUUGAAUACAUUAGCAUGGAAUAAUAAGAUAAGACUUUGGUGGUCUAUUUUGUUGGUUUGCACGCCAAAGUAAUGAUUAAUAGGGAUAGUUGGGGGUAUUCGUAUUCUAUUGCUAGAGGUGAAAUUCUUAGAUUGACGAAAGACAAACUGCUGCGAAAGCGUCUGCCAAGGAUGUUUUCAUUGA